GACGAACGCUGGCGGCGUGCCUAAUACAUGCAAGUCGAGCGCUUCUUUCCUCCCGAGUGCUUGCACUCAAUUGGAAAGAGGAGUGGCGGACGGGUGAGUAACACGUGGGUAACCUACCCAUCAGAGGGGGAUAACACUUGGAAACAGGUGCUAAUACCGCAUAACAGUUUAUGCCGCAUGGCAUAAGAGUGAAAGGCGCUUUCGGGUGUCGCUGAUGGAUGGACCCGCGGUGCAUUAGCUAGUUGGUGAGGUAACGGCUCACCAAGGCCACGAUGCAUAGCCGACCGGAGGGGGGGGCCGCCCACAGUGGGACGGAGACACGCCCCAGCCCCCUAGGGGGGGGAGCAGGGGGGAAUCUUGGGAAAUGGAGGAAAGUCGGCCCGCGCAACGCCGGGGGAGGGAAAAGGUUUUUCGGAUCGAAAACCCCUGUUUUUAGAAAAAAACAGGGACGUAAGAAACUGACCGCCCCCUGACGGUAUCUAACAAGAAAGCCACGGCAAACUCCGUC
rnacentral:rRNA from 1 species